rnacentral:rRNA from 1 species
AACGAACGCUGGCGGCAUGCCUAACACAUGCCAGUCGAACGAGACCUUCGGGUCUAGUGGCGCACGGGUGCGUAACGCGUGGGAACCUGCCCUUAGGUUCGGAAUAACUCCCCGAAAGGGGUGCUAAUACCGGAUAAUGUCUUCGGACCAAAGAUUUAUCGCCUUUGGAUGGGCCCGCGUUGGAUUAGCUAGUUGGUAGGGUAAAAGCCUACCAAGGCGACGAUUCAUAGCUGGUCUGAGAGGAUGAUCAGCCACACUGGGACUGAGACACGGCCCAGACUCCUACGGGAGGCAGCAGUGGGGAAUAUUGGACAAUGGGCGAAAGCCUGAUCCAGCAAUGCCGCGUGAGUGAUGAAGGCCUUAGGGUUGUAAAGCUCUUUUACCCGGGAUGAUAAUGACAGUACCGGGAGAAUAAGCUCCGGCUAACUCCGUG